rnacentral:tRNA from 1 species
GGUAAGAUGGCCGAGUUGGUUAUGGCGCCAGGUUAAGGUAACCUUAGCACAUUUCCUGGUGGAGCAAUCCUCCUGGGUUCAAGUCCCAGUCUUAUCA